rnacentral:rRNA from 1 species
UAGGGAAUCUUCCGCAAUGGGCGAAAGCCUGACGGAGCAACGCCGCGUGAGUGAUGAAGGUCUUCGGAUCGUAAAACUCUGUUAUUAGGGAAGAACAAAUGUGUAAGUAACUAUGCACGUCUUGACGGUACCUAAUCAGAAAGCCACGGCUAACUACGUCCCAGCAGCCGCGGUAAUACGUAGGUGGCAAGCGUUAUCCGGAAUUAUUGGGCGUAAAGCGCGCGUAGGCGGUUUUUUAAGUCUGAUGUGAAAGCCCAGGGCUCAACCGUGGAGGGUCAUUGGAAACGGGAAAACUUGAGUGCAGAAGAGGAAAGUGGAAUUCCAUGUGUAGCGGUGAAAUGCGCAGAGAUAUGGAGGAACACCAGUGGCGAAGGCGACUUUCUGGUCUGUAACUGACGCUGAUGUGCGAAAGCGUGGGGAUCAAACAGG